UACGUAGGAUGCAAGCGUUGUUCGGAUUUACUGGGCGUAAAGGGCGCGUAGGCGGCGCGGUAAGUCACUUGUGAAAUCUCUGAGCUUAACUCAGAACGGCCAAGUGAUACUGCAGUGCUAGAGUGUGGAAGGGGCAAUCGGAAUUCUUGGUGUAGCGGUGAAAUGCGUAGAUAUCAAGAGGAACACCUGAGGUGAAGACGGGUUGCUGGGCCAACACUGACGCUGAUGCGCGAAAGCCAGGGGAGCAAACGGG
rnacentral:rRNA from 1 species